GCCACUGGCGGUUGCUCGCUCAGGAUCAGCGCGGCUGCUGCAGGGCCUCAGGGAAGGGGACGAUCGCGUACGACCGUGUAGGAGGGGAGGGCUCUGGAUGGGGAUGAUCGCUAACGCACUGGGGCAGUGGCAAAGAUACUAGAGCUCCUCUAGUAUCCUUGGGCAGUGGUGGGCAAAGAUUAUAGCUCCUGUGUGAUCUUUGGUGGUGGCCACGCGGGCCGCGCUCAGUGCUGGCGGUUUGGCGCGCGUCACGUGAAUGCAAUCCGAUGCCGUGAAAUGGCGGCGGCCGCCGGAGCUGCAGUGGAGCCGUCGCCUAAAAUGGAGCCCGUCCUAUGUUCGGAAAAUUCCAGUAGCCAAAUAAUAUGCUAGUCCGCAUGUUUUAAGGGAAAUCGGAGCACCUGAGGGAAUGUGGGAAGAAACCAGAGCACCUGGGAUAAUACAGCUCCACUGUGCUUCACAUUUUAGUCGAUGGAGAUAUAAAUAUUGGGAAUCAUCGAGCUUGCUCGCUGCAUUUCAUCAAAAACUUCAUGAAAGGUUUAAGUCUUGCACCUGCACUAGCUGUUUGAGAUGAUCACUCAUGAAAAUCAAGCUUGGACAUUUACCUGGAAGGAUGGCUUACAGAAAUCCAAGAAGUAAACACUUAAAAAGAAAAACAGGAUCGUUUUGAAGUGUAAAUCCUCAAUCUGGGAUUGUAUUUGGAUCAAGAAGGAACUGCAGAUGCUGGAAGAUCGAAGGGGCUUCAGUUCAAGUCGUUUCUUUUUAUCGUGAGGGGCUGUCACAUGAGAAUGGACUUUAUCGAUGGAUGCUCAGAGCUUUCCAGGCCACUUGAAUCCACAAAUUACAACAAUUGCAGUUGCCUAUUAGAAGAGCUGACAAACUUCAAAGAAUGAUAGGAUCUUGUUGGAGAGAAUCCUCUGGAGGAUGGGGAUCCCUUCCAGCAGGAAUCUUUGGAGUGUUCACCAGGAUCUGAUCGUGUGUUUAAUUAUGUCAAUUUGUUGGUCAAUUAAAAUUAAUAGCUGAUUUAA